UACAGAGGGUGCGAGCGUUGUUCGGAAUUAUUGGGCGUAAAGCGCUUGUAGGCGGCCUGUCAAGUCGCGUGUGAAAUCCCCUGGCUUAACCAGGGAAGUGCGCGCGAAACUGAAGGGCUUGAGUGCCGGAGAGGGUCGCGGAAUUCCCGGUGUAGAGGUGAAAUUCGUAGAUAUCGGGAGGAACACCAGUGGCGAAGGCGGGCUACUGGGCCGAUACUGACGGCUGAGGCGCGAAAGCGUGGGGAGCGAACAGG
rnacentral:rRNA from 1 species